UCCAUAGUGAAGAGGGGAGCCAGAGU
rnacentral:piRNA from 1 species